UACGUAGGGUGCGAGCGUUGUCCGGAAUUAUUGGGCGUAAAGGGCUCGUAGGCGGUUUGUCGCGUCGGGAGUGAAAUCCACUGGCUUAACUGGUGGCUUGCUUUCGAUACGGGCAGACUGGAGGUAUGCAGGGGAGAACGGAAGUUCCUGGUGUAGCGGUGGAAAAUGCGCAGAUAUUCAGGAGGAACACCGGUGGCGAAGGCGGUUCUCUGGGCAUGUCCUGACGCUGAGGAGCGAAAGUGUGGGGAGCGAACAGG
rnacentral:rRNA from 1 species